rnacentral:rRNA from 1 species
UACGUAGGCAGCGAGCGUUGUUCGGAAUUACUGGGCGUAAAGAGUGUGUAGGCGGUGCUCUAAGUUCGGUGUGAAAUCUCCUGCUUAACUGGGAGGGUGCGCCGGAAACUGGAGUGCUCGAGCGUGGGAGAGGAAAGCGGAAUUCCUGGUGUAGCGGUGAAAUGCGUAGAUAUCAGGAGGAACACCUGCGGUGUAGACGGCUUCUGGACCAUUGCUGACGCUGAGACACGAAAGCGUGGGUAGCAAACAGG